GCCCCCCUCAUUCUGCAUGUACUGAGCCCCCCUCAUUCUGCAUGCAUUGAGUCCCACUCAUUCUGUAUGUACUGAGCCCCCUCAUUCUGUAUGUACUGAGCAUUCUGUAUGUAAUGAGCCCUCUCUUUCUUCAUGCACUGUGCCCCCCUCUUUCUUCAUGCACUGUGCCCCCCUCUUUCUGUAUGCACUGAGCCCCCCUCUUUCUGUAUGCACUGUGCC